AGCGAACGCUGGCGGCGUGCCUAACACAUGCAAGUCGAACGUGAAAGGGAGCAAUCCUGAGUAAAGUGGCGUACGGGUGAGUAACGCGUAGGUAAUCUACCCCAGAGUCUGGAAUAACCUGCCGAAAGGCGGGCUAAUACUGGAUAGAGCGACGGAAUCCGUAAUUGGGUUUUCGGGAAAGGGAGGAAGCAAUUCCCUUCGCUCUGGGAUGAGCCUGCGUCUCAUUAGCUAGUUGGUGGGUAAAGGCCCACCAAGGCAUUGAUGAGUAGCUGGUCUGAGAGGAUGAUCAGCCACACUGGAACUGAAACACGGUCCAGACUCCUACGGGAGGCAGCAGUGGGGAAUCUUGCGCAAUGGACGAAAGUCUGACGCAGCCACGCCGCGUGAGUGAAGAAGGCCU
rnacentral:rRNA from 1 species